rnacentral:misc_RNA from 1 species
AUUUAAAUCUCAACUAAAAUUUAAUUAAUAAAAAAUAAAAGUCAUUUGCUUACAUUGUAUUUUAAAUUAUUAAUUAAGUGUAAUAAUCAAACCAAUAAUUAAUCUCAACUGCAUAGAUCAUGCACCUCAUAUGAUAUCAGCAUGUGUCUCUGAUACUUUUCCUUUUCUUUCAUUCAUAGGAGGUUAAACAGUUCACCAGCGAACUCAAUAAAAAGUAGUUCUCUUUUUC